CACAUUCCAUUUCAGGAUCUGAGAAGCUGUGUAUUGAAAAUAUGCAACUUCCUGGGAAAGAGAUUGACUGAAAAGGAGGUGGAUGCUGUUGUGGAUCAGUCUACAUUUAAUAAAAUGAAAGCAGAUCCCAGGGCAAACUAUGGCUCCUUGCCACCAGAGUUAAUGGACUACAGCAAAGGACAUUUUCUUCGCAAAGGCACUGUUGGAGACUGGAAGAACAUGAUGACAGUCGCACAAAGUGAAAAGUUUGACAGCGUUUUUAAGGAGAGAAUGGAAAAGCUGCCCAUCAAGUUCUGCUG